rnacentral:rRNA from 1 species
CGAGGGGUAUAUGUCUUCGGAUAUAGAGACCGGCGCACGGGUGCGUAACGCGUAUGCAAUCUACCUUUUACAGAGGGAUAGCCCAGAGAAAUUUGGAUUAAUACCUCAUAGUAUAGUGACUCGGCAUCGAGAUACUAUUAAAGUCACAACGGUAAAAGAUGAGCAUGCGUCCCAUUAGCUAGUUGGUAAGGUAACGGCUUACCAAGGCUACGAUGGGUAGGGGUCCUGAGAGGGAGAUCCCCCACACUGGUACUGAGACACGGACCGGACUCCUACGGGAGGCAGCAGUGAGGAAUAUUGGACAAUGGGCGCAAGCCUGAUCCAGCCAUGCCGCGUGCAGGAUGACGGUCCUAUGGAUUGUAAACUGCUUUUGUACGAGAAGAAACACUCCUUCGUGAAGGAGCUUGACGGUAUCGUAAGAAUAAGGAU